rnacentral:rRNA from 1 species
GAUGAACGCUGGCGGCGUGCCUAAUACAUGCAAGUCGAGCGAACAGAUAAGGAGCUUGCUCCUUUGACGUUAGCGGCGGACGGGUGAGUAACACGUGGGUAACCUACCUAUAAGACUGGGAUAACUUCGGGAAACCGGAGCUAAUACCGGAUAACAUUUGGAACCGCAUGGUUCUAAAGUGAAAGAUGGUUUUGCUAUCACUUAUAGAUGGACCCGCGCCGUAUUAGCUAGUUGGUAAGGUAACGGCUUACCAAGGCGACGAUACGUAGCCGACCUGAGAGGGUGAUCGGCCACACUGGAACUGAGACACGGUCCAGAAGCCUACGGGAGGCAGCAGUAGGGAAUCUUCCGCAAUGGGCGAAAGCCUGACGGAGCAACGCCGCGUGAGUGAUGAAGGGUUUCGGCUCGUAAAACUCUGUUAUUAGGGAAGAACAAAUGUGUAAGUAACUGUGCACGUCUUGACGGUACCUAAUCAGAAAGCCACGGCUAACUACGUG